CCUUGGCCGUGACCACACAGGACUGUGCGUUAUGACAUCACCUGUUUUCGCUCUUUAGAACAUGAUCUGUAGUCUCAGCUUCUCCUUUUUUAGAGGUCUCUAGUGUACCGGGAUUUGGGAAGGCCUGCAGUCCGCAGAAUGAAUCUGGAGAUGAUGUCAAACAACGGUUUCACUGGUUUGCAUUUCUUUCUUUUCUUCCUUUUCUUUUUAAUUAAAAAACACACGGACACACACACACACACACACACACACACACAGAGCCUGGUUUCCUUAGGGAUUCAGAGUGGUGUUGUAAUGCAAAAUCAGAAAGGUACACUUGGAGGAGCUAGCAAGUUUAGCAUAUCAAAGCUAUUAGACCAAAUUGUGUGGUUAAAAGUGUCAAUCUUAUUUUUUCAACAGCUGCCUCCUCUGUCCCUUUUGGAGACCAACACACAUAAACCAAGUCUACACAAGGAACAAAGGAAGUGGAAAUCUGCCAGUGUCAGGUUGAAAUACAUUAAAAUUGACUGGAAAACCCCUGAAGGGCCUGAGUUAUGCGGUUGGGUAAAUGUGUUGAUCCACUUAACUAGUAAUAGCUAAAGGUCACUUGAUGCUGUUGUAGACAUGUAUAGCCUAGAAUAGCAAUGGUGUGGGGAAGGUGCUUGACAAUCAGAAAAAAACUGUAAAAGCAAGAACAUUAAGGAGGGAAAUUACCAUAGGCUCGUCAAUGCAGAGAACCAAGAAAUCCAGGGAGAAAGUUAGCAAGGCACAGUUUUCCUAAGAACUGAAACACAUAUGUGUCCCUGUUUAGUGGUAAAUUUCUUGGGCUAUAUUCCUGGCUGGUUCUCCCUUGUAAAGCAGAUUUUAUGUGAAUGCAUUUUAAAGGAUAGGAGAUAUUGAAGGCUGAAGUGAAUUUUUGUGCAGAGAUUGAAUUUUCUCAAAUAGUACUUUAGAUUCAAAUUGUUUUCCAUCGUAUUCUUAUAACCGUUCCUUUUACUUAGUAGUUAAAAUCCUUUCACAAUGGUUCUUUAAGCUCUUCAGUAACUAAAUUCCCCAGAAAAGAUGGCCAAGAGAGUGGAGGCUACACAAUUACACCCUCUGACAAAGAUUGCUAAAGGGAGGUUUUAAGGGAAUAGCUUGACCGAUACAUAGAUUCAUGUAUGUGACCAAAUAAUGGUGGUCUCCACCAAACUCCUCCAAACUUUUAUAACAUUAAUUGUCCAUAGGGCCAUUUAUUUGGCAUUUAACCAUGUACUGCAUUGGGACAUUUCUUACAUGGAACCCUUACGUAUGAGUCUAUGUUUCACCCCUGAAAUCUUCAAUCCGGCAACUCCUCAGCACACAACCCCCACACUUUCUUCUAGUCCUCACCUCCCACACUCUCAUCAUACGUGUUCUUUUCUGUUCUCAUGUUAACAUUCGACUUCUGGAUCCUUCCUUGCUCUUCCAUUCCUUACGUGGUCUCCCUUCCUUUUCUAGUCAGCCUGUUAUUAUAAAGGGAAUGCGACUCAGAGGCUAAUUGACUUGUGAAUCCUGGAUCACACUUUUAAGAGGGAAGAAAACAAAAGUCACUUCUUCAGAUUUCGCACAGAACAAGGAGAAACUCCCUUUUGUUGUGUGGUUCUGAAGGACGCGGAGCAGGCCAUGUUACUACAGACAAAGAAAAGAAUGUCUACAGCGAAGGGGACACCUGAGAGGUCGCACGCUUUGUGGGAUCAUGGUAGAAGUUCAAAACAUCAACCUGAGAAAAAUCAGUGAAACUGAGGACUUAAGUCAGAAGUAUGGGUGACGCAAGGAAUUAAAGGGUCUGCGAAUCAAGACA